CCUUAUUCGUUCUACCCCACUUCAGGGCCAUUGUUCCACUGAGUUUCUGGUGUGCAGGGAAAGAGUCUAUUCCUUAUAUGUUGGUCACCACUUAGGGUUCGAGUGCUUUUUGGUUUGGUCUACGUCUUUCCAUUCGAAUGAAAUCUGAUCCUAUGAGUUGCACGGCAAGCAGCUUGACUCUGCUCUUUCGUUAAUGGUCAUUCAUCUGACUCAGGCCUAACCCACCCAUUGAAUAUCAAAAAGGCUGAAAGGGGGAUUUCUUUGAUAAGCAAGGAACGACUCUACAAGGGCUUGAUUCUCUCUUUACAAUAUAUGGUGAUCUAGCC
rnacentral:lncRNA from 1 species